GCGUGGGCCUGGCCCCGCAGGGGGAGGAAGCAGUGUUGCUGCAAGGGACUGACCCAGAGGGCGCGGGGUCGGUGCCGGCCGCGGCUCGUGGGGCUCACGGAAACAAUGCUCAUUUAAAUAAUGAACAAUUCAUCUAUGGAGCUUUUGAAGAAUGCAAAUGUAUUCAAAUGACAUAAAAAACAUCUGAAGUGGAAACUCUGAGGGUUAUUCAGAGCUCAUUCGCCCUCUCUGCCCCAUGCAGGUAUGUCUUUGCUUGCAAGUUUCAUUGUUUGGAAAUACAGUAUGAUAUUCUAUAAAUAAAAGUAAGUGGGAUGAGUUAACACACACUAGUGAAGAAUUCAAGACUUCUGCUUUUUAGCCAAAGU